GAUGAAGAACGCAGCGAAAUGCGAUACGGAAUGUGAAUUGCAGAAUUCAGUGAAUCAUCGAGUCUUUGAACGCACAUUGCGCCCCCUGGUAUUCCGGGGGGCAUGCCUGUCCGAGCGUCAUUGCUGCCCUCAAGCACGGCUUGUGUGUUGGGCCUCCGUUCUCCUCCCGGGGGACGGGCCCGAAAGGCAGCGGCGGCACCGCGUCCGGUCCUCGAGCGUAUGGGGCUUCGUCACCCGCUCUUGUAGGCCCGGCCGGCGCUUGCCGACACAUCAAUCUUUUUUCCAGGUUGACCUCGGAUCAGGUAGGGAUACCCGCUGAACUUAAGCAUAUCAAUAAGCGGAGGA
rnacentral:misc_RNA from 1 species